rnacentral:rRNA from 1 species
AUUGAACGCUGGCGGCAGGCCUAACACAUGCAAGUCGAACGGUAACAAGAAGCAGCUUGCUGCUUCGCUGACGAGUGGCGGACGGGUGAGUAAUGUCUGGGAAGCUGCCUGAUGGAGGGGGAUAACUACUGGAAACGGUAGCUAAUACCGCAUAAUGUCGCAAGACCAAAGAGGGGGACCUUCGGGCCUCUUGCCAUCGGAUGUGCCCAGAUGGGAUUAGCUUGUUGGUGGGGUAACGGCUCACCAAGGCGACGAUCCCUAGCUGGUCUGAGAGGAUGACCAGCCACACUGGGACUGAGACACGGUCCAGACUCCUACGGGAGGCAGCAGUGGGGAAUAUUGCACAAUGGGCGCAAGCCUGAUGCAGCCAUGCCGCGUGUAUGAAGAAGGCCUUCGGGUUGUAAAGUACUUUCAGCGGGGAGGAAGGGAGUAAAGUUAAUACCUUUGCUCAUUGACGUUACCCGCAGAAGAAGCACCGGCUAACUCCGUG